rnacentral:rRNA from 1 species
AUUGAACGCUGGCGGCAUGCCUUACACAUGCAAGUCGAACGGUAGCGGGCCUUCGGGUGCCGACGAGUGGCGAACGGGUGAGUAAUGUAUCGGAACGUACCUUUCAGUGGGGGAUAACGUAGCGAAAGUUGCGCUAAUACCGCAUAUUCUGUGAGCAGGAAAGCAGGGGAUCGCAAGACCUUGCGCUGAUUGAGCGGCCGAUAUCAGAUUAACUAGUUGGUGAGGUAAAGGCUCACCAAGGCGACGAUCUGUAGCGGGUCUGAGAGGAUGAUCCGCCACACUGGAACUGAGACACGGUCCAGACUCCUACGGGAGGCAGCAGUGGGGAAUUUUGGACAAUGGGGGCAACCCUGAUCCAGCCAUGCCGCGUGAGUGAAGAAGGCCUUCGGGUUGUAAAGCUCUUUCGGCCGGGAAGAAAUCGUAUCAGCUAAUACCUGGUGCGGAUGACGGUACCGACAUAAGAAGCACCGGCUAACUACGUGCCAGCCGCCGCCGUAAUAC